GAACUGCGGAAGGAUCAUUAA
rnacentral:rRNA from 1 species